ensembl:lincRNA
GUUUAAAAUCAGAGCAGGAAAAAAAUAAAAUAAAAUCAGAGUAGGACUUCAUGUUGUGAAAUUUCUCUUGUUAGAGCAGCUAUUUUAACAGAGGAAAUGUAUGAUGAUUUAAUUGUCAAGAACAUAAAGAUAUUUUGUGACAAGCACAAUGCACAUGAACUACAAGUGGUUGGGCUGUGCAAGCCUUUAAAGUACUGAAACUAAGAACAGGUUUAUCAGGAUCUGUAAGUGUUCACUGGCCUAAAAAUGGCUUAAAAAAAAACAAAACAGCAAACCAUUUAGAAAGUUGGGCUGAGGGGUUCAUACGCAAGUCUCGACCCACAGGCUGGGACCCCGUGUGACAGGAUAACCCACCAAGUAAGUAGCACGCUCCAGGUCAAGCUGAUGGGUGGAGUGGGGUUCCUGAAACAGAAGAGCCUGCUGAUAAUUUUACUUUAACGAUGGGGUUGUGGGUGGAGAGGGGUGGGGCGGGGACACGGGAAGAGCUGGGGCAGGGCACGCAGCGGGAGGAAACACAGGCGUGGGGCUUUUUCCCCCGGUGACCCUGGGCAGAAUCAUUUGUAAUGAAAAAGCAGUGUUUAUUUCCACACACCUUGAUGGGAAAACGCCAGCGACGGUUCCACAGACACAACACCCAUCCCGGAACCAUCCGAGCCCACCGCUUACCACGCUGUCCAGCCUUCACGCUGCCUCUCCGAAGCAGUCACUGUCCUCAGUGUGAGGCUGACAUUCUAACUUACAGCCUGAGAGGCUGCGGAAUUCCACUUCUGCGUUCACCGCUCAGCCAAACUACUUCCUACUUUCAUCAAGUUUCCCAGGACGCUGGCAUCUGUACGACAGCAACUGCCUUCGAGGGAAGGGGCCCGAUCCAUUCAUUAUUUGGAAAGUAACGCGUGUGGAUUUGUUUCGUCUCUACCACACUUCUUACUGCAUGUCACAGGAGCACAUCAAGUAUUCCACAAAACCAAGUAUUAAGAGGAUUUUGAAGAGGGUGCAAGUUUAGCCAGGUAGGACUAUGAGGUCAUGCCUCUUUCCAGUACAAAAACCACCGCCUGACUUCUAAUGCUAUUUAAACUACAGACCUAUGGUAGCAAAUACAGCACGUGUGCUGCAGCCAGCUGUUUGUUAUCACUGAAAACUCUAAUAAAAGAUUCGCCACCACCGAUACAGACCAAUUCAUACUGGCAGGAGGGAAAAAAAAGCCCUAUUACAUCUCAUGUUAAUAAACAGCUGUAUAGGAAAAAGUAGGCUAAGCCAUAUUAAUACUUAUUGGCAGAACAAAUAUGAAUUAUAAACAAUUUCUUGUUUGGCACUUUGAAAAGUUUAAGUGGAAUGUUAGAGAAAUUUCUGGUUUCCAAAGGAGACAAUAAAAUCUCAGUUCUGUCCUAGUCAUUAUAUAGAAGAUGGACCACAGGUUCAAACGUGGGAUGCUUUAAUCCUCUACAGGAAAAUGUUUAUUAUAGUGAUUACAAUGAAAAGAAAAUUUCUUAGGCUACCUGGGACAUUCCCACUGCUCCUAGGAUUUGCAGCUGUGUAAACCUUUUGAGCUUUUGGUCUCAACUACACCUGCCUUUACGCAGACCAAACUUUCUGUUCUGAGAAGCUACAGUAUGAACCAGUCCAUUUCCUUUCUUGGGGCUUGCUGUCUGUCCCUGAGCUGGGGCUCCCUUCUUUAUUUUGCACAUAACUCUAAGAUGUAAGGUUACUGGUGCAUUCAUUGGUUCAUAACCCUCAGACAGACCGACCAAGCAGACUCAGCCUGGCAUGGGAGAGAGGCUGUGGUCCCACUUCAGGACCAACUUGGCUGGGGAGUCAGGGACAGUCAGAGGGGCUGGUUGCCUCCAAGGGGAAAGGCCAUAUCAAUGGAGGGCAUCCCUGGGGAGGAGUGGGCCGCUCUGAACCACCCGUCUGCCGACCCGAUGCCCUGGGCCCCCACCUCCCUCUGCGCUCUCUCAGAUGCUCAUCUCUUGGCCUCAGCGUGACCCUCAUGUUGUCAGGGAAGUGCUGGACCACUGGCCAUGUGGACUCUGACUCUCCCAUGAGGAGUGGCAGUGUCAUAAUUAUGAAAGCCAGCACUACCCUCCAUAGUGAUGGGCUAGUGAUUGAAGCCACCGAAACACGUGUCUGACCUAGGUGUGGUGGCACACGCCUGCAGCCCCAGUCCCAGCACACUUGGGAGGCUGAGCCAGGAGGCUCACCUGUGCUACAUGUGAGUUCGGGGCCAGUCUGAACUAUACCAUCUAGACAAUAAGCAUAACACGGGGUCUUCCUAGGUUGUCCAGGCUGGCCUUGAAUUCCUGGGCUCAGUGAUGCUCCUGUCUCAGCCUCAUGAGUAGCUGGGCCAACAGGCAUACUCUAGGCCCAGCUUCU